rnacentral:rRNA from 1 species
UACGUAGGGAGCAAGCGUUGUCCGGAAUCAUUGGGCGUAAAGCGCGCGUAGGCGGCCCUGUAAGUCCGUUGUGAAAGUCAAAGGCUCAACCUUUGAAAGCCGAUGGAUACUGCAGGGCUAGAGUCCGGAAGAGGCGAGUGGAAUUCCUGGUGUAGCGGUGGAAUGCGCAGAUAUCAGGAGGAACACCAAUAGCGAAGGCAGCUCGCUGGGGCGGUACUGACGCUAAGGCGCGAAAGCGUGGGGAGCGAACAGG